GACGAACCGUGCGAACGUUGUUCGGAUUCACUGGGCUUAAAGGGCGCGUAGGCGGGCUAUCCAGUCUGUGGUGAAAGCCUCCGGCUCAACCGGAGAAGUGCCGCGGAUACUGAUAGUCUGGAGGGGUGUAGGGGCAUGCGGAACUUCCGGUGGAGCGGUGAAAUGCGUAGAUAUCGGAAGGAACGCCGGUGGCGAAAGCGGCGUGCUGGACACCUACUGACGCUGAGGCGCGAAAGCCAGGGGAGCAAACGGG
rnacentral:rRNA from 1 species